UUGUACCAAAUGAUUCCUACAGUCUCCCACUCUGUAGGCAGCAAGCCGUAAUUUUUCUGAGUGAACAAGUGGGACAGCGGAUCGACAGUUACGCUAUUUGCAAGGAAGUCACUGAACCCUGACCUCCAGAUAGCAGUAUGACUGUAGAAGCUGAGACGAACCUCGACGGACAGCGGACACCUCAGUUGGAGUUGAUUGACGGUCUGCACAUCGAUCCAAAGGGUACGCAGUGGUUCCAGUCCCGCGUCUGUUGGCUUCAGGCACUGCCAUGAGUCAGUGUUGGUAGGUGGUCUGCAUCUCAGUGCAGAAUGCUAUCUCACACCAGAGUGACAGCCACAAUUCUUGGAGGGCCAUUCGCAAGCUAAAAGGUUUUCAAUGGUCCACGUGGAGUAGGGCUGAGCUGACCAAUGAGAGCAUCGCAUCAUUACUGGCCAAGCAGAUCAUUUUUUGUGGAAAUUAAGGGGGAAGUCUGGCGACAAAAAGAAAGAAGGCUUCUUUGAGCAUUCAGACGAGGACGUCAUCCCGGAUAGUCUGUAGUUCGCUUCGGUAAAGUGGUUAAGGGAAUAAAUAAAUUGUGCUUGCGAAACUACGAACUUAAAUCUCAAGACCAUUACCGAAACCUUCCUCGCUGGCAUUCAGCUUAUACUUCGCCACGUAAUACUCCAUGAGAAAAGUUCCAUGCCUACCUGAACAGAAAUUCCCGAAUAACAUCGUAGACGUCUGUGAUCGACAAGACUGCAACCGAGCCGGGCAACUCCAAGCGGCAGGGACCGUUACAUUGGGAAUGAGCCUCCUUCUUAUUUAAUUUUUGUACCGCGGUAAAUCUGACAACAUCGAGCGUUUCAUUUGAAGACCUAACUGAAUUUCUGGUCCGGGAAAUAACUUGGUGAGGAAUUCAUUGGCUAUUAAUAAUGGUUUAUUCCUGGUAAAUACACCAGAAUUGUUACGCAAUGCGUACAUUUCCUAAUUUGUUUAAGGGUUCUGUUUUCAUUAUAUCUAUCUGCCUUUCCUCUCUUCGUUAACUACAAGUGUAUAUAAAAAAUGUUUUUUUUCCUAAACUGAUUUUGUAAUCAACCCAAGAAAUAAGAUUUUGUUUCAACACCA